CCUACGGGUGGCAGCAGUGAGGAAUAUUGGUCAAUGGGCGCGAGCCUGAACCAGCCAAGUCGCGUGAGGGAAGACGGCCCUACGGGUUGUAAACCUCUUUUGCCGGGGAGCAACGGGCGCCACGUGUGGCGCCACUGAGAGUACCCGGAGAAAAAGCAUCGGCUAACUCCGGGCUAGCAGCCGCGGUAAUACGGAGGAUGCGAGCGUUAUCGGGAUUUAUUGGGUUUAAAGGGUGCGUAGGUGGGGCGUUAAGUCAGUGGGAAAAUUGGGGGGCUCAACCCCUUCCCGCCAUUGAUACUGGCGCUCUUGAGUGGAAGAGAAGUAUGCGGAAUGCGUGGUGUAGCGGUGGAAUGCAUAGAUAUCACGCAGAACCCCGAUUGCGAAGGCAGCAUGCCGGCUUCCGACUGACGCUGAAGCACGAAAGCGUGGGGAUCGAACAGGAUUAGAUACCCCAGUAGUC
rnacentral:rRNA from 1 species